CAGCAGCCGCGGUAAUACGUAGGUGGCAAGCGUUGUCCGGAAUUAUUGGGCGUAAAGGGUGCGUAGGCGGACUGAUAAGUCAGGGGUGAAAUCCCAAGGCUCAACCUUGGAACUGCCUUUGAUACUGUUAGUCUUGAGUUCGAGAGAGGUGAGUGGAACUGCGAGUGUAGAGGUGAAAUUCGUAGAUAUUCGCAAGAACACCAGUGGCGAAGGCGGCUCACUGGCUCGAAACUGACGCUGAGGCACGAAAGCGUGGGGAGCAAACAGGAUUAGAUACCCCAGUAGUCCCUGUCUCUUAUAA
rnacentral:rRNA from 1 species